UUACAUGGCCGGCAGUGAGGAUGGUGUCAAAUCUCAUCAGUCAUCUACAACCACUUUCUCUGACCCUUUCUGCAUCAUUGAAUUUGACUCCCUUUCUUCCCAUACUCUCCUUAGAGGACCUAAGAGGAAAUGUGCAUGGGCAGACAAAACAGAAAACUAAAGGAGGGAAGAUAAGUGGGUUCUUGGCUUCCGGAAGGAUUCUGACCUACUUCACUUGCCUUCAAAUUCUGUGUGAAUUUAUUUCAGAAGCUACAGGGAAGAGCUAAGAACUCCUGUUUUCCUUGGAGAAGGGAAGAAACAAAUGCCAGAUUAAAACUCAGAGGAAACUCUGGAAAUUAUAAGCGAGGCUGCUACUAUAUAAUGACCAAGUCGCCUUGGUAUGUCUUGUGAGCUAAAAUUCCAUUUCACUUUUAUCAUAUAUAAAACCAGGAUUAUAGCUCCAGGAGGAGCUACAAUCUGUGUUCUCUUUGGUCUAUCUGAACAUCCCAAAUAGUAUCACAGUCUACCUGAAGAAGUGCUGCUGAAAUAGACUGACAAUGCUUCAAUUAUUUUGGCUGCAGGCAAAGACAAAAUAAGUCUCAGGAGUUCUCCAAAAGCUCAAAAAGUUCUCUGUAAACUAUGCUGUUAUCAAAUGGAAACUACAAGAACGCGACCAACACCACAGGAGGAGAGAUUUCCCUGGGCUUUGCUCUGGCUAUGAAAGAGUUUCCAAAUAUACAAUGAAAAGUCAGUGGAACCUGACAGGCGCCCAAUGUGGAGCACAGGGGUUCAGACACACAACCCCUCCAGCUCCUCUCCCGACGGCUUCCCACCCACUGAGCACUGGCCAAACCCUGGUUAAGCGAGCACUGACCUUCCUGUUUAUCUGAUAAUCCACACAGUGUAGAUGGGAAAAAAUUGAAAGAUAGAAAGGAGGAAGCAUAAAAAAAAUCAUUUCCUCAAUGUUAGUAAAAACAUAAAUUGGUUACAUGACAAACAUGAGGUGGUGACUAUGUUAAUGGUACAAUGGCAAAGUUAUUACAAUCUUUGGAAGAAAAAAAAAAUCCCAUUUCUUCACAACUUUCCAACAUUUUAAAAUCCAAGCCCAGGCUUGAAUCACUGCUUUAUGAGUCCAAGAAGAAAGCAUUUGGAGAAGUGCUACACAUGCUCAACUGAACUUCCUGUCAAAUUGUUCUCACUCGUUUGGGCACAAGUCUGCUUAAGCCAUCUCUCAUUAACAUUUACUCUUGCCCGAAGCCCUCUACGCCCCCAACCCCUGCUAAUCUUCCACAAGCAAGCUGAUCACACUGGGAUCUCCUUUUCCCAGACACGUUUGAUUCUCACUUUCUCCUGAACCUAGAAAUGUGCUUCCCACCAAAGCAUGCCAGGCACUAACUCGUCCCUACUGAAAGGGGCUGUUAAAAGCUCAUCUUCUUUCCAGAUGGUAGUGAGGUGUGAGGUGAUCCUUUCUCUUUCUUUUUUUUUUUUUUUUACUUUUAGCUACCCCUCAAUUCUGGUGUUCAGUAACAAUGUAUUCCACUUAAAAGAGAGAAAUCAUAUUAAUUAUUCUAAGAUAUAAACACUUAAUUUUAUUCAUGCUCUUGAAUUACUUUCCUUUCUACCGCAUGUUUGUGUAGCUGUUAUAUGAGUCCUUUCUACUGAUGUAGCUGUCAUUCCUUCAACUCAGUUCUUGCCAAACACUGAGCUAUGUCUGGAGAUACAAAGAUAACUACUCUUGUUGAAGAGAUGCCAGUUUAGUGGGGGAGACAGACAUGUAAACAGAUCUGUAUCUGAGAUAGAUGGCCUGGGUAGGAAAAGAAUAUAUAUAGCACAAAUAACUCAGUGGACCUGCAAAAACAGAGCUUGAGGCCAUGAUAUACCACAAAGACCCACCAAGGCACAAGCACUGUCAACAUGAAGGUAAGGCUUCCAUUUUUGCCUCUUUCAAUCUGGGUACAUCUAUUCUACAUACUCUGCCUUUCCUCCUGUUACAGGAAAAGAAGGAACCUCAAUUCUACCUAAAGUCAAUCUUCUCCUUGAGCUAGAGAUCCAGCCCCUCUCCCAUAAUGAGGUACACGGCCCCUACAAAGAUCCACUCUCCUGCAUUAUCAAAUCCUCCCUCCCUGUGGUAUCAUUCCAGUCCACACACACACAUACCUUAACAUCAUCCUCCCUUGACCCUAGGUCCCCCUCCAUCCUCUUCAUCAUUUCUCUGCUUCCCCUCCCAGUGAUACUUUAUCUUCUACAUGUAUUGCUACCCCUAUUCCCUCAGCCUCUAUUCCCUUCUCCCUUGACUCCACUGAAAUGGCUCUUAAAGGACGCCACUAAGCUCUAUCUUGCUACAACCAGGAGUCGAUUUUCUGUUACCUACUGCCCUCUCCCAUCUCCCCUCCUCAUACCGAAAGACUGACUUUUUAAGACUUCCAUGAAAAUGUUGUCCUUGUUUUCUUCCUGCCUCACUGGCAGCUCCUUCCCAGUCUCUUGUAUUCACUUUUCCUUGCCCACCUGCUGUCUGGUCUUCCCUAUAGUCCAUUCUCACACUAGAUCACACUAGAGUUAUCUUUCAAAAAUCUCAACUACCAUCACCUGGUUUAAACCCUUCUAUGGUUUCCCAUCAUCCUUAGAAUUCGACACUAUCAAGUCCCUGUAGGACAUGGCUCCUGUCUAUCUGUCUGCCCUCAUUGCUAAACAUACCUUCCUCCCAACACCCUACAGACUAUCUACCCACCAGAUUUCAGAAACACAUGGCCUUCUUUCUGUUCCUCAAAAACCCCAAGCUAGUUUCUACUUCACAGCCUUUACUCUUGCUGUUCCCUAGCCUGGAACACUUCUCCCUUAGAUUGCUGCAUAGCCAAGCCAACUUCUUGUAAUUCAAGUUUUGGCUCAACUCACUUCCUCAGAAAGGCCUUCCCUGACCGUUCUGCUCAAGUGCUCCUUCCCCAAACUCAACCACUGGCUAGCUUAUUCCCCCAUUCCAAUUUUGUCAAACUAUGACUAGUCAGUAUCACAUUUAUUUCUUUACAUCUCAUUUUUCUCUCUCUCCUACUACAAUGUAAACUGCGUUAAGCAACAACUUAAUCUCGUUUACUGCUAUAUGUCUACUUCCAGGCACAGUGUUUAGUAUAUUGUGGGUGCUCCGUAAACAUUUUACUCAAUGGAUAAAUGAAAUGACGAUGAAAUCCUUGUUUAGAAUCCUGUGUUCAGCUCUUUGCUCUUCAACUGUAGACAUGCACAGAAGCAUAAAGGUGAGACAUAAUAACUAGUGCACAGGGAAAUCAGACCUAUGAAACUAGAACUAGAAUUACUAAGGAAGUGUUAUAUUUUUAUUCUUCAGGGGUAAUCAUUAGUUGUUUUUUAAAUGUCUAAUGAGGAUUAAAUAAAAAGAAAUGGAUUAAAGGUUCAGCAGAUGGGCAAAAGUUCUAGAGUAGAUAAAAUGUGGGUUAGAUUUAUAAAAACACUUCCUGGGACUGACUACUAUUUGAGAUUAUAAUCAGUUCCUGAAGAAGAAUACUGGAUAUCUUUUUAAAACAAAAAGAGAUAACAGUAAUCCUUUAUCAACUGAGUGCUUCCUUUGUACCAAGACCUCUGCUAAGGCUGUUUUACAAGCCUGAUCUCCUUUGACAUUUGUAGCAACCCUAUGAGACAGGUACAGGGAUAGCUGGGAGAUGUCAUGGGUUCAGUUUAUGACCACACAAUAAAGCAAGCCACACAAAUCUUUUGGUUUCUCAGUGCAUAUAAAAAUUACGUUUACACUGUAUGGUAGCCUAUUAAGUGUGCAACAGCAUUAUGUCCAAAAAAAGUACAGAUUAUUAAUUAAAACAUACUUUAUUGCUAAAAAAUGUUAACAAUCAUCUGAGUCUCAAGUGAGUCAUAACCUUUUUGCUGGUGGAGGAUCACGCCUCAAUGUUGAUAGCUGCUGACUGAUCAGGGUGGUGGUUGCUGAAGGCUGGGGUGGCUGUGACAAUUUCUUAAAGUAAGACAAUGAUGAAGUCUGCUGCAUCUAUUGACUCUUCUUUCAUGAAAGAUUUAUCUGUAGCAUACGAUGCUGUUUGACAGCAUUUUUACCAAUAGUAGACCUUCUUUCAAAAUUGAGGUCAAUCCUCUCAAACCCUACUACUGCUUUAUCAACUAAGUUUGUGUGACAGCCUAAAUCUUUUGUUCUAGAAUCUACCAUUUCAACAAUAUUCACUGCAUCUUCACCAGGAGUAGAUUCUAUCUCAAGAAUUCUAUCUUCACUUUCUUUGCUCAUCCAUAAGAAGCAACUCCUCAACCAUUAAAGUUUGCAGCAAUCCAGUCAUAUCUUCAGACUACACUUACUGCUGUUAAUAUUUUGACCACCUCUCACGAAUCACAAAUAUUCUUAAUGGCCUCUAAAUGGUGAAUACUUUCCAGAAGGCUUUCAAUUUGCUUUGCCCAGAUCAGAGGAAUCAAAAGAAUUUGCCAUCAAAGGAAUCACUAUCUAUAGCUAUAAGCUAUAGCCUUACAAAAUGUAUUUCGUAAAUAAGACUGGAAAGUUAACAUGAUUCCUUGAUCCACGGGCUGCAGAAUGGAUGUUGUGUUAACAGGCAUGAAAACAACAUUCAUCUCCUUGUACAGCUCCAUCAUAGCUCGUGGGUGACCAGGUACAUGGUCAAUGAGCAGGAAUAUUUUGAGAGGAGCUGUUUUGUCUCAGCAGUAGGUGUCAGCUGUGGGCUUAAGAUAUUCAGGAAACCAUGCUGUAAACAGAUGUGCAGUCAUCCAGGCUUUGUUGUUCCAUCUACAGAGCACAGGCAGAGUAGAUUUAGCAUAACUCUUAGGGCCCUAGGAUUUUCAAAGUGAUAAAUGAGCACUGGCCUCACCCUAAAGUUACCAGCUACAUUAGCCCCUAACAAGAGAAUCAGAAAUGUCCUUUGAAGCUUUAAAGCCAGGCAGUGACUUCUCCUCUCCAGCUAUUAAAGUCCUGGGUGGCAUCUUCUUCCAAUAGGAGGCUAUUUCAUCUAUCUUGAAAAUCUGCUGCUUAGUGUAGCCACCUUCGUCAAUGAUCUUAGCUAGGUCUUCUGGGUAACUUGCUGCAGCUUCUACACAAGCAGCUGCUGCUUCUUCUUGCAUUUUUAUGUUAUGGAGAUGGCUUCUGUUCUUCAUCUUAUGAAUCAACCUCUGCUAGCUCCAAGAUGAAUCAACCUCUGCUAGCUCUAAGCUUUUGUUUUGCACCUUCCGCACCUCUCUCAGCCUUCACAGAAUUGAAGAGUUAGGGCCUUGCUCCGAAUCAGGCUUUGGCUUUAGGGAAUGUUGUGGCUGGUUUGGUCUUCUAUCCAUACCCACUCAAACUUUCUCCAUAUCAGCAAUGGCUGCUUUGCUUUCUUAUCAUUCCUGUGUUCACUGGAGUGCUUGGACUUUCCUUCAAGAACUUUUCCUUUGCAUUCACAACUUGGCAAACUGUCUUAAGAGGCUUAGCUUUCAGCCUAUCUCAGCUUUCAACAUGCCUUCUUCACUAAGCUUAAUCAUUUCUAGCUUUUGAUUUAAAGUGAGAGAGAUGUGGCUCUUCCUUUCACUUCAACACUUAAAGAGACUACUGUAGGGUUAUUAACUGGCCUAAUUUCAAUAUUGUAUCUCAGGGAAUAGGGAGAUUGGAGGACAGGGAGAGAUGGGGGAACAACCAGUCAGUGGAGCAGUCAGAAUACACACAUUUAUCUAUUAAAUUCUGUCUUCUAUGGGUGUGGUUUGUGAUGUUCCAAAACAAUUACAAUAGUAACAUCAAAAAUCAUCGAUUACAGAUCACUACAAUAGAUAUAAUAAUAAUGAAAAGUUUUGAAAUAUUGUGAGAAUUACCAAAAUGUGACAUAGGCACACAAGUAAGCACAUGCUGCUGGAAAAAUAGGGCCAAAACACUUGUUGAACACGGAGUUGCCAUAACCUUCAGUUGGUAAAAACAAAACAAAAUACCACAGUAUCUGCAAAGUGUAACAAAAAGGGGUAUGCUUGUAGCACUAUUCUCAUUUUAACUUGAAAUGGUCAGAUAGUUGGUAAAUGACCAAGCUGGGACUGAAUUCGGUCCAUUUAACUCUAAAAUCUGUGCUUAACACUUAUGUUUACAAGAGAGAGUUGAGAUGGGCCCUGCUGAGAGCAUGAGAGUUAACUACUUGAAUCUGUACCCAAAUCUAGGAUUCUAACAUAUUUUCAGGAACAGCACAAAGGACACAAUAUAAAGAACAAUUUAAAAUAGUCCUGUGUAAGGUAGAUUCCAUCUUUGAGCUUUUGGUUAUAAAGACAUUUGAAGAACUAGACAAAAUUAUGUGCUUGUGGUUAUCCAUUAUAUAAAUUAUCUCCUGUCAUUCUGAAGGAUUAUUUUAUUUAUAAUCUGAAGACCUACCUUAGGAGGGGGUGGGCUGGGUGUGGUAGCUCAUGCCUGUAAUCCCAGCACUUUGGGAGACCGAGGAGGGCAGAUCACUUGAAUUCAGGAGUUCAAGACAAGCUUGAGCAAUGUGGGGAAACCCCAGCUCUACAAAAAAUACAAAAAUUAGCUGGGCAUGGUGGCACAUGCCUGUAAUCCCAGCGACUCUGAAGGCUGAGGUGGGAGGAUCACCUGAGUCCAGGGAGGUCGAGGCUGCAGUGAGCUGAGAUCACGCCACUGCAUUCCAGCCUGGGUGACAGAGCGAGAGAGACAGAGAGAGAGUCAGCGAGAGAGAGAGAGAGAGAGAGAGAGAGAGAGAAGGAAGGAAAGAAAGAGGAAAGGAAAGGAAAGGAGGAAAAGAGAAGAAAAGAGAAGAAAGGAAAAGAAAAGAAAAGAAAAAAGAAAGGUGGAGGGGAAUCGAGUUUGCAAGUAUCACCAGGUAUGACUAAAACAAUUUCUUGCUCCUUUAAGGUUUUGAACAGAGAUCAGCAAACUAUGGCCUGCGAGCCAAAAAUAAAUUUUAUAUUUUUAAAGUAUUGUUUAGAAAAAGAAUAAUUUGUAACAGAGACUUUAUGUUGCCCACAAGGCCUGAAAUUUUUAUUAUCUGGUCCUUUACCAAAAACAUUUGUUGACCUCUGCUCUAGAUCUUAAAAAUGGGUGCACAAAGUAUGAAAUAGGUGUAAUAGAGAAUAAAGUCCCUAGUUAGAAAAAGCAAUUCCCUAAAGGUUGUUUUUUUUGAGACAAGGGAUCAAGCCAUCCUCCCACUUCGGCCUCCCAAGUAGCUGGGACUACAGGUGCAUGCCAUCACCUCUGGCUAAUUUUUAAAUUUUUUGUAGAGACAGUGUCUUGCUGUGUUGCUGGUCUUAACCUCCUGGCUUCAAGCUAUCCUCCCACUUCGGCCCCCCAAAAGUGUAAGCCACCAUGCCCAGCCCCUACAGGUUUAAGUGUCCAAGGGAUUUUUUUUUUAAUAUCAACAACAAAGAUUCCCAGAGUCAGAUUUUCAAAUGGAUCUAGCCUCCCAACUUAGCAUCAAUGAGAUGAUAUUAGGGGACAAAAAAAGAAAAAGAAGAUGCUGAGAAGCUUGGGGAAGAAUCAGAAUUAUCCAGGUUUAGAGCUGCAAGGAACCGUAUAGAAACUAUGGACCAACGUUCUCUAGCUCCGUAAAUGAAGAAACACCCAGGGACGAGGCAGUGACUUCAGGCUGCGAUGUGUCGGCAUAGCACAGUCCUGUCUCCGGGCUCCUAGGCCACGUCUAUUCUCACUGUGCCAUGAGGCCUUUACCUUAUUACAGAGACAUGCUCUGCAAACCAAGGUGUGGUGGACAGCUUUUUAAAACGUCAGACGAAAACCAGCAGCUCUGCAAAGAAUGUGUGAUCUGAAGGUGAAGUCUCAACCCAUUUUGUUAAGAAAAAUUAAUGUUUCUUUUUUUAUAAUGCUUUUUUGAAUUUCAAAAGUGGUACACAUUCAUUAUAGAAUUUUCAUUAAGAAAAUUAUUUUUCAAUAAGGAAAUUCAAAAAAAGAGAAUAAUUAUUCAUAAUCUCUCCAUCCAAUAAUAAAAUAUUUUCAACAUUUUAUUAUUUCCUUGCAACUUUUUUUUUUUUUUUUGAGACAGAAUCUCACUCUGUCAUCAUCCAGGCUGGAGUACAGUGGCAUGAUCAGGGCUCACUGUAGCCUCGACCUCCCAGGCUCACGGGAUCCUCCUGCUUCAGCUUCCCAAGUAGCUGGGACUACAGGCAUGCUUCACUAUGCUUGGUUAAUUUUUGUAUGUUUUGUAGAGAUAGGGUUUCACCAUGUUGUCCAGGCUGGUCUUGAAUUCCUGGGCUCAAGUGAUCCACCUGCCUUGGCUUCCUGAAGUGAUGGGAUUAUAGGCGUGAACAACUGUGCCUGGCCCUUACAGCUUUUUUAAAAAUGCAGAUACACAUAUGCCAUUUGAAAAAUUAGAAUAUUCCCAGAAGUUUGAGACCAGCCUGGGAAACAUAGCAAGACCCCAUCUCUACAAAAAAAUUUAAAAAUUAGUUGAGCAUGGUGGCACAUGCCUGUAGCCCCAGCUACUAGGGAAGCUCAGGUGGGAGGAUCACUUGAGCCCAGGAGUUCAAAGUUGCAAUAAGCUAUGAUUGUGCCACUGCACUCCAGCCUGGGUGACAAGAGUGAGAAGACCCUGUCUCAAAAAUAAAUAAAUAAGUAAAUAAUUACAGUAUUUUUUUUCACUUAAUGUCAGCAUUUUUGUGUCACGUAAAUUUUCCUAAAACCUUUUAACAUUAUACAAUUCCAUUGUGUGUAUGUAUAAUAAUUUCUGUAACUUCUAGGACGGACCAGCUUAUAGAAAGAAUGUUUUACCUCGCCCUCACCAACAGUGAUUAUGAGCAUUAUUCAAAAUAUUUUUCCAUUUGAUAAGCAUGAAAUGGUUUCUCUUUGUUUCACACUGACGUUGAUCCUUUCUUCACAUGGCAUUUAUUUAUAUGCCAUCUUUUGUGAAUUGUCUAUUCCCAAUGUCACACGUCCUAUUCCCAUUUUUCUUCUGAGGUAUUCAUCUUCUUUUUGAUGAUAAGAGCCAAACAGAAAAGAUUUUAACCUUUUCUUCUAUCACAAAUAUUGUAUGUUUCCCACUUUUCCAUUUGCCUUUUAAUUUUGUCUUUUUAAUUUGUUGUUGUUUUAAUCUUGAAAUGUAGCAUUUCCAGCUAGUCAAAUCCUCUGCAUUUGUCCUUUGUAAUGCCAUAUAAGGGAUGAUCUACCGAAGCUGGCUAAUGACCUAUUAGUUUCUAAAAAGCAGCCAGUGUAAGUCCCCCAAAUCUGCACAGCCUGCAGAGGUUCCACUCAGUGUUGGCCAGAUGGAAGGAAUGUGGAGUAGAAACGCUACCAGAUGGACUAUGAGUCAGGAGGCCCAGAUGCUUGUCCUGGGUUUGCUGCUUGCUUGCUGCAAGUCCUUAGGCAAAUCUCCCAUUCUCUCUGGGUACCAUAACCCUCUGUCAACAAAAUGAAAGGUAUGGACACUACACUCUCAAAAGACACAUCCAUUUCUUUUUUCUUUUUUUUGAGACAGAGUUUUGCUCUGUUGCCCAGGCUGGAGUGCAGUGGCGCAAUCUCGGCUCACUGCAACCUCCGCCUCCCAGGUUCAAGAGAUUCUCCUGCCUCAGUCUCCCGAGUAGCUGGGAUUACAGGUGUGCACCACCAGGCCUGGCUAAUUUUUGUAUUUUUAGUAGAGACCAGGUUUCCCACGUUGGCCAGGCUGAUCUCGAACUCCUGACCUCAGGUGAUCCACCCGCCUCAGCCUCCCAAAGUGCUGGGAUUACAGGUGUGAGUCACUGUGCCCGGCCGACACAUCCAGUUCUAAUGCUCAUUCUUAUUUGACAUGUGAAAGAAGGGAAGUCAGUGCUAGAUGUUCCAGGCUAGUCAGAAUCCACAACCCCAGAGAGACCUGUCAGUGAGAAGAGGGAAGAAGGUGAGAGAUGGUAAAAACGAAUGUCUGACAGGAGAAAACUUGCAGCCCUUUUGACAUGUGGCUUAUAGAAUUUAUUUCAAGUAAAUCAGCAUGAUCUGGAAAGUCAAAGGCAGCAGAGAACCAAAACUGAAAAAGGGCUUACUUCUAGUGCAUAGAUUUUUCCCAGAAAAGGCACCAGGUAAUCUGACUGUGACUUCCUCUAAGCCAGUUGGGGGAUUAUAAAUGUUGGAUAUGGGCAUAAAAGCCAGAAUAAAAAGAUCCAAAAGGGAUGUGGAUGACAAAAGUGGUACAAGUUUUGAUGUAAAAGGGAAAAGCUGUUCAUGAGGGUCAUCAUGUUGAGAGAGAUCUCUUUGAGGGCUGGUAUAGAUCAGAUCAUAAAAACAAAAGGGACAAAAGACAACGAAACUCAAGCAUAGGAGAAGAAAUGGUCUCAAGACAGUUUGGCAGGUUUGUAGUACAGAUGAAAGUGAUGUCCUCUGUCCCGUGGAAAUACCCGCAAACACAAUAUCGUGAAAUAAGAAUAUGUGCUUUGAAGUAUUAAGGUGCUGGCAAGAAAGGCAAGGUGUUAGUUACAUAAUAGUGGCAUUGUGUUGUGGGUGCCACCAACAAAGCCCUGAGUCCAGGUGACACAGGGUCAUGAGAAAUCACAUUAAUGAGCUAAAGUCCUUACCUACCAUUGCUAACUAACUAGUAUUUUAUUUAUGUGUAUUUAACAAUUAUUUUUUCUUGCAUAAAUUAAGUAAUAACACCUGUUUUCUUCACUUUAUUGCUACUUUAGUAGUUAUUUAUCCUUUCCAUUUUAUUUUAGCACUGAUUAAAACAUAAAAUGUCUUUAGGAAAUGUUAUGUCCUAAUUUAUGGUUUAUUUUAAUCUUAGCAGUCAAACACUGAUGACAUUGCAUCUCUUUAAAAAAUUAGCCUAUUAUCACACACCAAUAAAUACAUUCUUUAAAAAAAAAAUCUCAUUCUCAAAUGAGAAGAAACCACAAAGCAAUGAGGCAAUGAAGGAAGAAAAACAAAUCCUGAGUCUUUCACCUGGCCCAACAGGGUGUAUUAAGAGUAAUUAUGGAGUGUAUUAAGAAUCAUUAAAGUAAUAUUUCCUUGGGUUUCUGUGAUGAAGGAUGGCUCAUCUGUUCACUUCCAAUACUUAAUUUUUUCAAGCUUGCUGUCUUUCAUGUAAAUAAAAAGGAAAGAGUAACUUUCCUUUUCCAAAAAACACAGAAGGGCAAAAACUACACUACAAAUAGCUUUUACCCUCAGGCUCAAAGUUCUCAAUAAAUUAAAUCUCCAUUAUUGUUUACUCUGUUGUGGAUACAACUGAAAAAAGAUUAACCGGGUCCCACUUUAGAGAUGAGAAAAUGGGCCCACAGAAACAGCCUAAAUCAAUCUAUAAUACACAAAGAAACAAAGGCCAGCCUUUCCAUCCAAAGGCCUCUCCUGGGAUCUCGGUUCACAGUCUCCAUUCAGGGUUCAACAGCACCCCUUCAGGACUGCACCCUAAGUUUUUAAAGGAGGGAGAUGUGCAGGAAGGAACACUGACCAGGAGCAGGUAACUGAAGCUCAGCCCUAGCUUUAGCCCAUGCUAUUUCUAUGAUCUUGGGAAAGUAAUUUUCAUCUUCCUAUGGCCCCAUUUCCUUCAAUAUAAAAUGGAGAUAAUAUUUACACCUACUGCCUCAGUGUUUAUAAAGUUCAAAUGGAGGAAAGGGCUCUUUUCAAAAUACAGGCCACCUGUGUUAUUUAUGAAUUUAAAAUAGAAGAAUAAAGCAACUAAAAUAAUGAUUUUUAAACUUACAUCAUCCUCUCAUUCAUGAAUUUCAUAAACUCAUCUCCUUAAAGUGCUACAUGGCAUACAUGUAAGAAUAAACAUAAUUUUUUAUUUCAAUUAUUUGUUUUAAUCAACUAAGAGAACUAUUUUGUGUGUAUGUAUAAUAUUGACAUUUUAUGGUAAGGAAAAUUAUAAUGUGGCACAAAUAGCAUAUCAAUUCUUUUCUUAAAGUGUUGAUAAACCAAAAAACUGUCAAUAUGCUAAUAAUAAAGUUGCAUUUUGCUCUAAAUUAAAUGUACACUUUCGAUUUAAGAUUUUAUUCACAAAAUAAACAGUACCACUGCAUAAAAAAAUUACAUGAUGAUAUAAAAUACUAUGUGAAGGAGUUGGCAAAUUAUGUUUAUAGCUGUUCUUUAAACCUAGACAAUUCUAAUCUAGAAUUCGAUCUAAAAAUAAGAUACUUCUGCAUUUUUAACCCUUAAAAAAUUGUCCAUUCAAUACUACUCAUUAAAGCAAAAAAGAAAAAAAUUUUUCAACUUACAUACAAAAAUUCCAUGAGUUUUAAAAUAAUAAGAAAGUGUGCUAUAACCUACCGAUUACUUUGAAUAAAGGAUAUUUAUCAACAAUUACACUGGGUAAAAACGUUCCUUUCUCUGAAACCCUGGAGGAGCAAUGUUUAAUGAGAAAGAAUUAUUUAUGCCUACAAACACAGAACUGUAAUAGGUAGUUUUAAUGUAACACAUCACAGCAGUAGAUGCAGGCGGCCAGAAACGUGUUACCUGGUUUUGACUUAUACCCAAUUUCCAAGACCAGACUAAGACUUUGUAAACAGCAGGGGCUUUUAGUUUUGUUUUUCCUUAUUAUUGAUAGUGGAUGGCAACAAUAUUUGUGCUGACGGGGUCUUUGGGAGGAAUACUGAGGUUCUCCCUUUUCCUGAGGAAAAUGAGGUCUCACUCAUCUCCUAUUUGCCAGGACUAGUGAUCUCAGCACAUGCUUUGUUCUUUUUUCUCUCUGUUUAAGUGCUGGUAGUAAUUUAGUGAUUUCAAUCAUUGCUACAUUCAUUUUGGAAUAAUAAAGUGAUGUUAGGAGAUUCCUGUCAUUGCGAAGACAGGUUUUAGGAGGAAAAGGAUCUAUAGUUAGUCAGUUUUGCUACCAAGAGUAGCCUUUGGUACACUGAAAUCAAAUUAACUACAAAAACAUCAGGGAUACGUGUGGGGAUGGAGCUAGCUGUGGGGAGAUGAGCACUGAACCCAAACCAGUCUGGGCCAGAGGAAAACUCUACAGUCUCAUCAUGCAACAAAACAGGGAAAUUGGUUUUAGCGUUUUUAACUUUAAUUAGUCACAUUAAUUAAUGCUAAAAACCAAUGUUAACAGUAUAUUAUUUUCAUCUAGUUAAAUAAAGGAUUACACACAUUUGAGUAAAUUACACAGCAUUAAACAUUUCGAUAACUUGAAAUGAAGCCAUUACUGUCAUUCAAACAAGUUUCCACAGCUAAAGGCUGAAUGUUAAGUAUGAACUGAUUUGGCAUUACAAGAAUAUAAAUCCUUUAUCUUUUUACUGAGAAGAAAAAAUGAAGAGAUUCGAUGACUUCUGACUUGAAUAAGUGGUUUGCAGUAGCACAGCGCCCUCCAGUGGCCAAAUUUCAAAAUGCAGUUUCAAAGGACAAAGUUCAGUAGCAAAUCUUUUCAUGUUGAAUGGUGUUAAGCUGGUAACAUUAGCUCCUUUUUCUUUUCUCUUUUAAUAUAAUUGUUUAUCUCAGCACAUAUUUUCAAUAUCAAACCAUUUUUCUAUUGCCAAAUUUCCCUCACCAAAUUAAAAUUCUUCUAUUCAAAUCUGAUUUGUUUUCCCUCAGAAAUAUUCUGAAAAGUAAAAAAGAAAUCAAAGCGAAACAAAACAAACCUAAUGUGGACACAGACAACUGCAAUGAGAGGGAAUUCUCUAUACGCCUCAGAUAAUGGCGAAUGCCAGCACUAGAGUAGUAGUAAUGAAUUCUUAAGUGUUAAAAUCCAAACUCCAGAGUAAGAUUAUACAAAUUAUGGAACUCUAUUUUGCCUGAUAUACAUCAUGAUGAGUACAUAUGGUGAGUUCAAAGUUGUAAGCAUAUCUUUUACUCAUUUUUUCUAUAUGUGAACAUUUCUGUUUUUAAAUAACAGUAUAAAAGAUUUCACUGUAUGCACAUUCUUUCACUAUUACAACUCCUAUUAAAAUGGAUCCAAAUAUUUUUCUGUGGAAGUAGGAAAAGAUAACCCUUUGGUUACCUUUGCAGAUUACCAGAAAAGCUCCCUUAGGCCAAUCUAAAAUACUCCUAUUCUUGAAAAGACAUUGAUUUCUCACAAUGAAAAGAGAUCAUAAUUCCACUUUUAAUAACUACUGCCAUAGAGUAAACACUUAUAAUAUUCUUGGUCUGCCAAAUAAAUACUGCAAGGCAUCUGGGGGCAUACAAGCAUUGCCCCGGAUCCUAUACCAAAUAGUUACUAGGUAGCAUGAGGGAGUUUGCUAUCAAAAGGAUAAUAAUAACUAGCUAUUUUUUCCCUUUUCUGCCUACCCAAAGAAUAGAAAAGUUUAAGCAUGUUUUAAAGAAUCAUACCUUUCACCGAAACCGACAAAGCAACUCUAUAUAAUGUCAAGAACAAUGGCUGUGGCCUUGCAUCUUGUUUCCACCGCUACAGAUCAAAACAGGCAAAUAACAUCUCUGUGUUUCGUUUCUUCAUCUAUGAAAUGAAGAUAAUUGUUCCCAUCUCAUGGGAAUGUGGUGAGGAUUCAUUGUAAUGAUGCAAAUGAAAUAACUAAGCCUGACUGCCUGAAACUCACACGGGAGAUCUUCAAAGAAUGUUAGUUCUCUUCUCCAUCUAUUCUUACCAACAAAAGAAUGCAGAAGACCUAUUUUCACCAGAAGGAGGACUGGAACCAGAGUUAGCAGGUAUGGAGUCACAUGGGUGAAUCAAUAAAACCCACUCAAAAUUUCAUCUAUGAAAAACCUGUCCUUCUUUAUUAUACAUUAGAAGACCCAAAGAUGGUUCUGGAAGCAAACACACUGAAUUCUGGAAAGGGGAGGAAAAGGAACAGAAUUGGCAUUUGUUAUGUGCUUCAUGUGCUACUGGUUGCACCCAGCUUUUCUAUACAUAAUCGUAUUACUUAAGGCACCACAGAACUCUAUACAGCAGUUAGAACUGUGAUGGAACCAGUGAGGCUGGCUUCCUCUUAUCCAAGUAUGACUGGAGGACAGGGCUCAAAUGACCGUGCAGGUGCAUCUGGGCGGGGGGGCGGGGGUAUAACAAUGAAGAGGAGGUGCAAUAACAGCCCCGUGGGGAUGAUGACAGACAGAAUAUGCUCAUGAAUAAGAAUGUCUUACUUAUCCCAUCUUAAUUACUUUCUUCUGUCUCUUUCUUCAUGUUUAAGUAUUAAGAGCAGUGAGGUGGUAAGAAAUGGUAUGGGAGUCAUAUCAGAAUCCUUUGGAGAGAAGAGAUGGGCACAUGUGUCAUCUAAAAAAGCAUUUUCAAAAUUAUAAUAAAAUACACAACAUUUGCAAAGCAGGCUUUCUGCCCGUUGUGACCGUGAAAACAAAGCAGCUGAAGAGGCCUGAUGUGAAAGUGACCUCCUCUGUGCUCUGUCACUGGCAAGAACAGGAAAAACACUUGGGGCAAGCAAGCCAGCCCCACUUUCACACAUGACUCACACGACUGAAGGAAAG
rnacentral:lncRNA from 1 species